UACGAAGGGGGCUAGCGUUGCUCGGAAUGACUGGGCGUAAAGGGCGCGUAGGCGGCGCAGACAGUCAGAUGUGAAAUUCCUGGGCUUAACCUGGGGGCUGCAUUUGAUACGUGUGCGCUUGAGUGGGAAGAGGGUCGUGGAAUUCCCAGUGUAGAGGUGAAAUUCGUAGAUAUUGGGAAGAACACCGGUGGCGAAGGCGGCGACCUGGUCCUUGACUGACGCUGAGGCGCGAAGCGUGGGAGCAAACAGG
rnacentral:rRNA from 1 species